rnacentral:rRNA from 1 species
UACGUAGGGUGCGAGCGUUAAUCGGAAUUACUGGGCGUAAAGCGUGCGCAGGCGGUUUUGUAAGACAGAUGUGAAAUCCCCGGGCUUAACCUGGGAACUGCCUUUGUGACUGUAAGACUAGAGUGCGGGAGAGGGGAGUAGAAUUCCACGUGUAGCGGUGAAAUGCGUAGAUAUGUGGAGGAAUACCGAUGGCGAAGGCAGCUCCCUGGGUCGACACUGACGCUGAUGCACGAAAGCGUGGGGAGCAAACAGG